AGGACGAACGCUGGCGGCGUGCCUAACACAUGCAAGUCGAGCGGAGAUUUCGGGGGAGCUUGCUCCACUGGAAUUUCAGCGGCGGACGGGUGAGUAACGCGUGAGCAACCUGCCUUCAACAGGGGGAUAACGCAUCGAAAGAUGUGCUAAUACCGCAUGAGACCACAACAUCACAUGGUGAAGGGGUCAAAGGAGCAAUCCGGUUGAAGAUGGGCUCGCGUCCGAUUAGCUGGUUGGUGAGACAACAGCCCACCAAGGCGACGAUCGGUAGCCGACCUGAGAGGGUGAUCGGCCACAUUGGAACUGAGAUACGGUCCAGACUCCUACGGGAGGCAGCAGGUGGGGAAUAUUGGGCAAUGGGCGAAAACGCCUCGACCCAGCAACGCCGCGUGAGGGAAGAAGGGUUUCGGCUCGUAAACCUCUGUCCUGUGGGACGAAGGAAGUGACGGUACCACAGGAGGAAGCCCGGCUAACUACGUGCCAGCCGCAGC
rnacentral:rRNA from 1 species